rnacentral:misc_RNA from 1 species
GAUGAAGAACGUAGCGAAUUGCGAUAAGUAAUGUGAAUUGCAGAUUUUCAGUGAAUCAUCGAAUCUUUGAACGCACAUUGCGCCCUUUGGUAUUCCUUAGGGCAUGCCUGUUCGAGCGUCAUUUAAACCUUCAAGCUCAGCUUGGUGUUGGGUGACUGUCCGCUUCACCGCGGACUCGCCUCAAAAUUAUUGGCGGCCGGUACAUUGGCUCUCGAGCGCAGCAGAAACGCGUAACUCGAGGUCCUCGUGCUGGCUCCCAGAAGCUAUCUUCACAAUUUUGACCUCGGAUCAGGUAGGGAUACCCGCUGAACUUAAGCAUAUCAAUAAGCGGAGGA